GUUUAAUUAGUUUUAUUUAAAAUUUUAGUUUGUGGAACUUUAGAAACACUGGAGUGUAUUAAACA
rnacentral:tRNA from 1 species